UUUGCUGUCUGGAAGGGAAUUAGGUGGGUGCAGGUGUUUGCGGCUCCCUGGGUUUGCAUUUGGCUACCAGAAGCACUUAGCAAAGGGUAUAUGCUGGGGUUUGUAAAGCUAGACCUUAUUGAAGAUAAGUUAGUAAAGCGAUCUGGGGUGCCUUUGCACCUUUUUUGGCUUCUGAAAGUGAGCAAAGUGUUGGAGUCUGUGAAUGUGUUGGAGUCUGUGAAUCUUGGACUUCUUUGCGCCUUUGAGGGGGAGGUUACAAAGGGUUCAUCAAAGGGAGCACACGCAUUGGGGUAUGUGAUUCUAGGACCUCCCUGCCCUUCGGCGGGGGCUAUAAAAUUUCAUCAAAAAGGGGACAAACUGGUCUCCCUGGAAUUGUCUUAAUUGCACCUUUCGGAGGAGGCUACAAAACCCUAGAACCAGCUAGGGACUGGGAAUCUGACUGGGACCUCUUUGCACGGUUUUUUUUUUGUUUUUUUUGUUUUGUUUUGGCAACAAAAAUAUUUUUUCAAUUCAUCAGAGGCAACUUUUUAGUAAGAAUUUCGUUAAAUGGGAAAAGUCCUGCAAUUUUUUUGCUGUUCUGUUUUCUGCAGAUCACACAUUAGCUCAACUAGAGCAUUCUCAUCUUCUAGUUAAAAGGUUGGAGAAGCUGCUGUCAGUCUGUGAAGACGAUGCAGAGCUAGAUAGACCAAUGGUCUGACUCAGUAUAUUGAAUUGUAAAUUUUUUUUAAUGUUUUGGUUCUGUUUUAAUUUGUACUGCUUUUGUUGUGAACCACUCAGAGACCCUGGGUCAGACAUACACUUGAUUUAGGGUGGCCAGGUACACAUCGCCAAAAAAAGAAGAAAUGGAUUGCAAAAAAAAUUAAAAUAAAAUAGAUGACAUCUACAGUAGGACAUUCAUGACCAAGGAAGGGGACAGAAGAGGAUGAGGCAAGGACAUGAAAUUGCAUAAAAUGUGUUCAUAUAUAUGCAUAGAUUUACAUAUAAUUAAGAGCCCAGCCCAGCCUUUUCCAAUGGAAACAUUAAAAAAUAGAGAACACAACCCAACAGAUCCAAUGAUACAAUUCAUAUGGACACUUGACAAAGUAGUUCAAAACAGCUUAUCACCGGGUGCUGUCAUUGUAAUAUCUAUUAUGGACUACAUAGUUCUCCUUUUUGAUCAACUGUCAUUUAGUGUAUUUUAUGUUGUGUUAGCAUUUCUGCCUCACAUUUAUUUUAUUUAUUUAUUUUAUUUAUUUUUACAUUUAUAUUCUACAAUUCUUCUAAGGAGCCCAGAGUGGGGUACAUAGUUCUGUUUCUCCUUACAACAAUCUUGUGAGAUCCUUUUCAUGUGGAACAUUAAAAAACAAGCAGGCAUCAAAGUAUAAACUAUUUGUCUAAUCCUUUUGAUCCCCACUCACCAUCUCCAGAAGAGCUGGAUAAAAGAAAAAGAAAGGAAAUAAGCUACUGGACAAACCUCAACCUGGACAAAUUAUAGUAUAUUUCAAUAUGCCAAAUACAUAUAAAUGUAGUCUGAUUUUAUAUAAUUAUCUUAUUAUCAUUAUUUUCUUAUUUGUUUUAUAUUGUUGUAUUGCUGGUCUACGACCAAAAUAAAGUUUUACUUACUUACUA